GAAAUGCGAUAAGUAAUGUGAAUUGCAGAGUUUAGUGAAUCAUCGAAUCUUUGAACGCACAUUGCGCCCCCUGGCAUUCCGGGGGGCAUGCCUGUCCGAGCGUCAUUGCUGCCCUUCAAGCCCGGCUUGUGUGUUGGGUCGUCGUCCCCUCCGGGGGACGGGCCCGAAAGGCAGCGGCGGCACCGCGUCCGGUCCUCGAGCGUAUGUGGCUUUGUCACCCGCUCGAUAAGGACCGGCCGGGCGCCAGCCGGCGUCUCCAACCUUUUUUUCUCAGGUUGACCUCGGAUCAGGUAGGGAUACCCGCUGAACUUAAGC
rnacentral:misc_RNA from 1 species